CCCAGACUCCUACGGGAGGCAGCAGUGGGGGAUAUUGCACAAUGGGGGAAACCCUGAUGCAGCAACGCCGCGUGAGUGAAGAAGUAUUUCGGUAUGUAAAGCUCUAUCAGCAGGGAAGAGAAUGACGGUACCUGACUAAGAAGCCCCGGCUAACUACGUGCCAGCAGCCGCGGUAAUACGUAGGGGGCGAGCGUUAUCCGGAUUUACUGGGUGUAAAGGGAGCGUAGACGGCUGGUCAAGUCUGAAGUGAAAGCCCGGGGCUUAACCCCGGAACGGCUUUGGAAACUGAGCAGCUAGAGUGCUGGAGAGGUAAGCGGAAUUCCUAGUGUAGCGGUGAAAUGCGUAGAUAUUAGGAGGAACACCAGUGGCGAAGGCGGCUUACUGGACAGUAACUGACGUUGAGGCUCGAAAGCGUGGGGAGCAAACAGGAUUAGAUACCCUCGUAA
rnacentral:rRNA from 1 species